rnacentral:rRNA from 1 species
UACAGAGGGGGCAAGCGUUAUUCGGAAUUAUUGGGCGUAAAGGGCGCGUAGGCGGCUUUGCAAGUGACGGGUGAAAUCCCUCGGCUUAACCGAGGAACUGCCUGUCAAACUGCAUGGCUUGAGACCGGGAGAGGUGAGUGGAAUUCCCAGUGUAGCGGUGAAAUGCGUAGAUAUUGGGAGGAACCCCAGUGGCGAAGGCGGCUCACUGGACCGGUACUGACGCUGAUGCGCGAAAGCGUGGGGAGCAAACAGG